rnacentral:rRNA from 1 species
UACGAAGGGUGCAAACGUUGCUCGGAAUUAUUGGGCGUAAAGCGCACGUAGGCGGCUUGGCAAGUCGGAUGUGAAAUCCCUCGGCUCAACCAAGGAAGUGCAUCCGAAACUGCUGAGCUUGAGUACUUAAGAGGAUCGCGGAAUUCCCGGUGUAGAGGUGAAAUUCGUAGAGAUCGGGUGGAACACCAGUGGCGAAGGCGCCUGUCUGGCUGACAACUGACGCUGAGACUCGAAAGCAUGGGGAGCAAACAGG